UGGACAUUUAGGCCUAGUACUAUCACGUUGCGUCCGAGAACAAUGGCAAAACUUUCGGUUUUAAUUGUCUUCUUGUUCGGUUUCACAUCUGAGCAAGUCAUCAACCAGAAACCAGUGGCUGUGUCCAGGAGAAAGAGAACUGCGCUCAUAGACUGCGAGGUGGACCAGAAUUACUUUCCUUUGGAGUUCCAUACACUGCACUGGUACGUGGAAAAAGAUGGGAAUGUUCCUGUCCGACUCUUACAUUUCCCACAAGGCAAACACGAACCUAAAAGAGACGAUUGGGUUUCGAAACAAUUUGGCGCGUCUAAAAGUGGCCAGAAAUCAACUCUUAUAAUUGCCACUGAAGACACUGGCAACCAGGCAAAGUACUAUUGCGCAGUCUGGAGUGGACACGAUGAUUCUCUGACAGCAAAUACACUCACAAAAUUUGCAGGCGCUAUAACAGAGAGACCAAAGAGCUCACCUUAAUAUCAUGACAACGGUGUGUGCGAGUCCUUCACUUCUCCAAGUAACAUAUCAAGUCAGUACAAGACACUGCCUGGAAGUUACCCAACAAAACUUUCGAACGGAAACUUUUUUGCAUACAGGAACUUCUCGGUAUUUCGUGCAGGAGGGUCUCUAGUUUCAUUCUCUCAACAUGCUGAGAAUCAUGCCUCCCAGCACAUCCGUGGUGUUUUACACUGUGUUUAUAUCUGUAGCUAUGGGAGAUCUGAAACUGUACCAAGACCGAUUAUCAUGGGUCAAAAGCCGAGGCAAAAGUGUGUUCAUCAGCUGCGGAG